GCGCCUGCUGCGCAGCGUGCGUCAGGUCGCUCUGGCCGGCCUGGCGCUGGUACUGGUCUGGCCAGCCGCGC
rnacentral:tRNA from 1 species